AAAUUUAAAUUCGUCUCGCAUCUCGCUUCAAUUCCUUACAUUGAUGCCUGUUAAAGCAUAAUUGUAUCAGCUGAUACCUGCUAACCUAACUUUCAGUUACUUUUUACUUCUGGCAAGUCCUUUCUAUUGUACUUAGUUUUCUCAAUAAAUAUUCAUGUAUUUCGUUGGUAAUACGCUAAAUAACGCUUUAUAAUUUGACAUGGUGACCCCGACGUGAUGAAUCUACUGUUGCAGAUUCUUAACAACUUUUUAUGGGAUCAGGGGGAACCUAAUGCAGCAAUUUUUCAAGGUGUGCCAAUCGUUGGAAAACUUUUGCAGCGAAUAGAGUGGCUGAAAUUCGGUUGAAUAUUAAAAGCUCAAGCUUUUGAUUUCUCAAGCUUUUGGUGGCAUGGGCCAGAAAUGUUACAUAACCGGAUAUUUUUCAACACUGUCAUCAAAACAUUCGGUAUGAUAAUGAGUUGUCUACUGAAAUGCAGUCUUCUUGUACUUCACACGUAAUUUCGGUUUAUCCCUUUGACUUAUUUGAAAAAUACUUUUCCCUUUCUAAGCUGUAAAGAGUUUUUGCAUAUGUUCAAUGGUUUAUUUUCAACUCUAAGUCUAAAAACGAGCUAUGUAGAAAGAUUGGAGAAUUAACAGCAGCUGAAUGUGAAAGUUCUUUAAAUAAAUGCAAGAAUUCCUUACGCACAAAAAUUUCUUAUAAUAUUACCAAAUAGACAUAAAUUGACAAACUUAAUUUUUAGACACGAACAUUCUGUUCGACUAUUUCAUCCAGGCCCUCAAGCCUUGCUGGCUUCAAUACGUCAACGGUUCUGGCCUUUAAAAGGAAGAUCUGAAGCUUAUUUCACCGUACGCAAUUGUUUUGGAUGUAGAGUUGUAGAAAUGCUGAACAUUUACGUUUUUUUUAUGUAACGCUUUAUAAUGCGUUAAAAUAAUGCGAAAUUUUAAAAUUCCUUAGUAAAUUAUUAUUGCAUACAUAAGAACCGAUUUAAUAGCGCUCUACUUGAAAAUCGAAUUUCCAAAAAUUUGAAUUUGCU
rnacentral:lncRNA from 1 species